rnacentral:rRNA from 1 species
GACGAACGCUGGCGGCGUGCUUAACACAUGCAAGUCGAACGGUGAUGCUCUAGCUUGCUGGUGUGGCUCAGUGGGGAACGGGUGCGUAACACGUGUGCAACCUGCCCCAGACUUUGGUAUAAGCGCUGGAAGCGGAGUCUACUCCUGGAUACCAUACUAGCUAGCAUGGGCAUGGUUUGGAAAUCUUUGCGGUUUGGGAUGGGCUCGCGGCCUAUCAGCUUGUUGGUUAGGUAGUGGCAGACCGACGCGGCGGCGGGUCGCCGGCCUGUGUAGGCGACCGGCCACCCUGGGACUGAGACAGGGCGCAGUGUCGUAUGGGAGGCAGCAGUCGGGAACAUUGCACAACGAGCCAGCGCCUGAUGCAGAGACGCUGCGUGAGGGAUGACGGCCUUCUGGUAGAAAAACUCUGCCAGCAGGGAAGAAGCGGUUGUGACGGUACCCGCAGAAGAAGCACCGGCUAACUACGUG